AUAAUAAUUAGUCUUUUAAAUGAAGGCUGGAAUGAAUGAUUGGACGAGGUAAAUUCUGUCUCAUUAAAAUUAAGAUUUAAAUUUAAUUUUUAAGUUAAAAAGCUUAAAUAUUAUUAAAGGACGAGAAGACCCUAUAGAGCUUUAUAAUAUAAUUAUUAAUAAUUUUUAAUUUUAUUUUAUUAAUUUAAUAUUAUUUUAUUGGGGUGAUAGGAAAAUUUAUUUAACUUUUUUAAUUUUAUUACAUUUAUUUAUGAAUUUUUGAUCCUAAAUUUUAGAUUAAUAGAUUAAGUUACCUUAGGGAUAACAGCG
rnacentral:rRNA from 1 species